AACCCAUGAUGAGGGCAACAUCUUAAUAGAUUUUUGUAUCUCUCCCAUGCAUCAUGUAGAGUCUCUAAAUUGAUCUGCACAAAAAAAGAGAUGUCAUUCAUCAACUU
rfam:Gossypium arboreum cultivar AKA8401 contig_57309_1, whole genome shotgun sequence.